rnacentral:rRNA from 1 species
ACUCAAAGGAAUAGACGGGGACCCGCACAAGCGGUGGAGCAUGUGGUUUAAUUCGACGCAACGCGAAGAACCUUACCAGGGCUUGACAUCCCCCGCUAGCCGUGGAAACGCGGUGUUUGGCCUUUCGGGGCCAACGGGGAGACAGGUGGUGCAUGGUUGUCGUCAGCUCGUGUCGUGAGAUGUUGGGUUAAGUCCCGCAACGAGCGCAACCCCUACUUUUAGUUGCCAUCAUUAAGUUGGGCACUCUAAAGGAACUGCCGGUGACAAACCGGAGGAAGGUGGGGAUGACGUCAAAUCAUCAUGCCCUUUAUGUCCUGGGCUACACACGUGCUACAAUGGCCGGUACAGAGGGCGGCGAAGCUGUGAAGCGGAGCGAAUCCCAAAAAGCCGGCCCCAGUUCGGAUUGCAGGCUGCAACCCGCCUGCAUGAAGUCGGAAUCGCUAGUAAUCGCGAGUCAGCAUAUCGCGGUGAAUACGUUCCCGGGUCUUGCACACACCGCCCGU